GCCACUGGAAUAUUUUCUCUGCAUUCUCGCACAACAAUAUCUGAAAAGCUGAAGCCACCAUACUGAAAGCAGCUCCAGAGGCAAUUAGAUUAUAGUCCCCAACAACCACCAGCUCCAGGGCAGGUGAGGAACAUACCAAACUGUUCCUACAUUACACAGCAUAUUAACAUUUCUUACUUGGGAGUAGAGGAAGGGUUGAGAAGGGAAGAGAGAAGAGGACAGGGAAAGAGAUAUAUAUGCUACUCAUUUGGUUGAUUUGUCUUAUUUUUUGAUGUAUUAAUCUGCUCUUCCAGAUUCCAGGAACCCAUUCUUCCUUUUAAGCUAGAGAAAGAAAUGGGCAGCUUCCAUCAAAAGCUGGUGAAAAGGGAAUGUGUUGGAAUUGUGCUCUAAUAGUCAAAAGCUGGAAGUCACAAGAUGGAAGACAGAAAAAAAAUCUGCAGGAUCAGAUGAUAUGGACAGACAAUGGUAAAAACAAAUAGGCAGAAGAGGAUGGGGUAAUGAAGAACCGUGCCAAAAGCAUUAGAGUUGAUGAGUCCAGGGACGCUUACAUAUGUUAUCAGCUUUUUCAGUGGAAAGACCUAGGUGGUAGACACACAUAUGUGGUCCUCUUGGGGCUUGGAGCUUUGGGAUAGAGCACUGGACUCUUUGGAAUGCAUCACCACCUGCAUCCCACCAUGUUUAUUAUUACAGGUUCCAAAGGUACCAAAGGGAGUGCAAGACUUGCCUUGAAUCUCGAAAUGCAGAGCAUAUAGCUGUGCCACUACCUCAGCUCUCUGACUGCCUUUUAUUAUUAUUAAUAUUCAGAAAAGAAUAGGAUUUUGAGAGUGAAGUAAAAAAUCUUUGAUGGGUCAACGCUGUUCUCCUAGAGUGGUCCUGACAUGUCUCUUCCCCUUUUCACCCUGCCCAGCAGAAUCUUCUCCAAGACUCCUUGCUGGCCUUCAAUAAGGACAGUAUGUGUUGUGUAGCAGCUGCAAAAGGCCUCACAAAUGCUGGCUGACAAGAAGUGACAGCUCUGUAUAUCUCUCACUGGCACUGACAGCUGACAGAUGGAUACCACUCACACACAGAAAAAAAGCCCCCAGGAUGAUUCGCCAACAUUACUCUCUGUUCAUAGGGGCCACAUUUGAUUGAGUGCUGCUCAGAAUAAUAAACCCUUGUCGAUCCGUUGCAGAGCCAGUUUGCUCACAAUGUCCUGAUUUUUUUUUCCCCUGAAACACGUACCAACAUACACAGAGAAGCCUUGCUUUGUUUUUUCCCCCUUAGCUUUGUUUGAGAAGAAAAGCUACCUAGCUUUAUGCAGCUGCUUGUUAAAGCUAGGGAGCAAUGAGUACAUAACUUAGCAAUACCAUGUUAGGGCUUUGCUUUCUGAUAAUUCGUUCGUCUCCCCAGCCUGUUUAUUAUUAUCCUUCAGAUUGUUUUUAUUCUUUUCCAGCCCAUCAUUGAAAAUAUUGCUGGUUGGGUAAGUUGGAAGACAGUAACAUGGAACCGGACAAUGAAGCAUGUUGAUGCAAAACAAACCACCAAAAACAAAAAGAAAGAGAGAGAGUGAUAAACAAAGAGAGACAACCAUCCAUAUGGACAGAUAGAUCUAAAUGGAGAAAAACGGGCAACAGAAACACACAGUUUCUACAACUGUGGUAGCUGAAGAAUUCAGACCCAAGUAAUUUCUCCAGCUUUUUGUUCUGUUUUCUUGCACAAAUGGCUUAAUUACUGGACUCUGUAGGUGAACAGUUUUUGUGAAAGUUAAUCUGCUCUAAGAGAAAACAAGCUAUGUCGUUGUACCCCUUCAAAAGACCUGAUAUAAGUAAUAUGAAGCAAACACACCUUGUUACAACGCUAUAAAAUCUGAAGUUGGGAAGGGUUCAAGAAGCCAACCAUGACUGAGAUGAAUGAGAAGAGAAAUCUGAAAUCUCAUUAUUAGUGAUGGUUACCUCAUGUUAAGCAUUCUUUCUAAAUCAGUUCCUGGUAUUUUUCACGAAUGUCUUUAUCUAUGUUUUCAGAUAAGACAAAACAUUGCAAUGUUUCUGGAAAAGAAACUGAGGCAAAGAGGUGUGAAGGUGUAUCUAUGUAACAUUUUCAUCCCCCUGGGAGGUCUUAGUGAAAGUACAUAAAGCUAGAUCCACAAUGUGUGCCUAAUCAGAGUGAAAAACUGAUCAGGCAUUUAAAUAACCCUACAGAUCUGGCCUUAUCAGUCUGUUUUUUUGAUGCUUGGCACCUCCAGAUAUUAAUCUGGAAUAUCUUCCAGAUAUUAUAUAUAAUAUUCCAUAUAUUAAUCUGGAAACCUGAAGCACCUGAAAUCUGUGAAUUAUGAAAAAAUAUCAGCCCAUGGACUGUUUUUUAAAAACUGUCCAUGCAGUAAGUACAAGAAUCUGCUAGGUUGAAGAAAAAUUAAAAAAAAAAACAACACAAAACCAAAACAAAACAACACCCUAGGAAAGAACCCUACACCUUCUGUGUGGACAGAUUUGUCCUGGACCACCCAACCUGUUGGAUAAGGAGUGCCCUGUCCACUGAGCCAUAGUUUUUUACUUUAUGGCUGCUAUGCUAAUAUAUUCUGGUAAACACAAAAGGAUUUAUUCUGCAGAAGUAUUAAGGGGAUAUUUUUUAGUAUAUAAUUUAUAGGAUUUGUAUGGAAGACAACUGGCAGAUUUGCUAGACAAUUCAGAUUAUAUGGAGGCUUCCCCACCAAAGGAGGACAACACUGUCAUGCCAUAGCUCUGCAGUCUCUUUGCCACCAGGGUCAGCUACAGAUACAUGCAGUUUCUGUGUGGUCUCAAAGAGGGACUGUAUUGCCACCCAAGACAGCUUGUAUUUCUAAUGUUUUCUUGCUGACUGUACAGGCCAGAGCUUGGCCCUGUGCACAAGUCUGCAUGACCUGUGUGGGAUCAUGCACCAGCUGGUGCUGGUAUUUAAUGUCAGAAGCAAGGACCAAGGGGAAUUGGCUUGGGACACCACGGCUGGAAAGGAUGAGGUGCUGGACCUGUGCCAGGAGGGUUUGUGCCCAAGAUAAUUUCUGGUUGAUCUUUUCCUGUGUGAUUUUGGACCUCAUUCACAGCAGGCAUUGUCUUGCCCGUACCAGCCCUGAAAAGGAGGCCCAGCCUGCACCUCAGGGUGUCUGAGGAAUACGCAUGAUGAGAGGUCCAGGUGCUCCCCAGGAUGAGGUGGGUCGUGCUGUGCCAUGUUGCUGUCUGCAAGCAGAGGAGCCGUCUCAGCCCAGCUAUACAUAUAGGUAUACACAUAUGUACACAUGUAUACAUGUACUUGCACAGAGGCAUCAGCCUUCAGCACCCCAGAGACUCUCUCUCCCAUGUGGGUGCAAUGUGCUCAGGCUGGUAGGUGGGGAAUAACUGCUGGGUGAUAGGACUCUAAGACUCCCUUACAGGGUCGGGCAGUGAAGUCCUCCUUGUGGAGGAGGCUACGUGCCCCCAGUGCUUAUGGAGGCCAAAGGAAAGAUUGAAGUUGCCUGGGUCAAAACUCCAGUGCUAUUAGUUUCAAUCUGUGACCCUGCACGCCCCUUGGGCAGGACCUGUCCUCGACAGUGAAGCAUGUUCUUAUCGAUAUCAGAUGGACACGAUAAAUGCUGGAUCCAACCAAUAUCAAGUGAAACUGAACUCAUACAGAGACGAAUAAUAUUUUCUCCUGAAUGAAGCUCAUUGUUUUGCUCUUAAAAAUACACCAAAAUUUUCUUUUGGCUGAUGACACAGAACACUGCAGAAAAGAGGGAUUGGUUCACUUUUCCUUGUGGUAUAAUAGCCCUCUUUCAUAUCUUCCUUAAAUAUACAACUGAAGAAACAUUAUAUGUUAAUACUUCAGCUAACAAUAGCUAUUCUACACAGAUAUGUCUGAUAUCUACUUCUCAAAGUGGGGGUGGGAAGCUGUCUCUAGCUUCAGCAGGGUUUGAAGAUCUGUGUGAUACAAUAGGUGCAUGUAGCAGGAAAAAACAGAGGUGAAGUGUACAAGGAAUUAAAAAAAAAAAAAAAAGAAAAACAACUUUUGUGUCAGUAUCCUAUAGGCCAAAGGAUUGCUUGUAGAUAAUCAUGGAUUAAUUGUGAAUGUAAAGAAAGAGACACUUUUUUUUAUCAAAGCUGUUGCCUCAGGGCAAACUCCAGUGCCAUGAAAGCCGAAAUGUUUUCUUUUAUCACAGUUCCUUUUCUGGCACCUGAAAUUAUUUCUUUCAUGUCUGAUAGUGAGGAACGAGGCAGCAUAGCUCCCCAGAGAUGAGCGAUUGUUACCAUGGUCUCAUAACAUAUUGGCAGCCGAUGUGGCAUCCAUGUACACCUGUCACUCAAACAGGGCGAAAUGCAGAUGUGGCAAGAAAGCCUGAGCUCAACCACUUGGAAGCCUCCCCCCCUAUGCACGCACACCCCAAAACACACACAUGUCCUCCUCGGCCCCCCUCCUCCCCAGGAUGUGGCUGUUUUUCAGCCUACACAUAUGUGAGUGCACUCAGAUGUUAUCGGGCCUGUUUAAUGCAAUGAACCUGCAUUAGCAUUUCUGCAGGGCAAACACAAAUAAACAGAAAUGCGCUGAAAAAAAAUGUUUCAAACAAAUUCCUUUGCAAGUCAGGCAGAGAGAGAGAGGGAGAGAGAGUACAGCACACAAAUGAGCCAAUUUCCGUCAUAUGGAAGUGAACUAAGACCUUUUUAAUGAAGACUCCAAGGCCGGGGAGGGAAAGGGGGGCUGGAUGGAUGCUUAUUUACUUUUUGAUUUUCUUCAGGCUUUGGGCGACUCACGUCACUGUUGUCACAGAAGGCAAGGUGAUGAAAGUGUCAAAAGGCAAGCAGAUACAAUUUUAUUUUAAUCUUAGGACUGAUGGUCUUGGGGGUAAUUUAAACCUCAGUUUAAGGCCCAGCAUACAGGCAAAAGAAGGAGUCAGGCAAAACAAUUUUUGUUGGGAGAUAUUGUAUCUGAUAUGGAUGUGGGACAGGUCUUCUGCUAGGCGUGCGACAUGACUACAUUAGAAGAGGAAGAAAAUAACACAUAUCUACGGCUCUAAGGUAACAGCCAUGUUGAGGUGGGCCGGAUUUGCCCAUGUGAAUGACCUGGCAUUUUUGGUCAGUGAGACAGAAAGUAUAGUAUAAAAUGAUAUGCGAACCCUCUCUUCUCUCUCUCUCUUUUUUUUUUUUAAGCAAAUUGCCAAUUUAGCUCCUGGGCUAAAGUAAAUAGUGCACUGCAAUUUUUUUUAAAGGGAAAUAUGACAAGGAACCCAAAUGCGUUCAUCUUAGAUUUGUAAAUCCAUUGCUUUAUUGAACCAUUUGUCCAUUCUCAUAAGCUGAUUUAUAAUAACUGUAAUGUGAUUCAUCAUGUCAUCUUGUAAAUAAAUGUGACACUUCAUUAAACACAGUAAUCAAAUUUAAGCAGUCCCACUUUCAUGUUAACAACUGAGACCUUUACAAUUCUAUUGCUCUGAAGAUACUCCUACUCUAAUGAAAGUAGCAUCAAGCAAAGAAUAAGAUGUAACAGACGUAGAUUUCUUAGAGGAGUGAUGAAGAUAUAAAUAUUCCUUUAGC